UUAAGUUCAGCGGGUAUCCCUACCUGAUCCGAGGUCAACCAUAAGAGUUUGGGGUUCUGGCAGGCAGCCGCCGGGCCCUAGAGCGAGAGAUGUACUACGCUUAGAGCCGGACGGCGCCGCCACUGGCUUUGGGGCCGGCCGCGAGGGCGUGGCCCAACACAAGCAGAGCUUGAGGGUUGAAAUGACGCUCGAACAGGCAU
rnacentral:misc_RNA from 1 species